rnacentral:rRNA from 1 species
UACGUAGGGUGCAAGCGUUGUCCGGAAUUAUUGGGCGUAAAGAGCUCGUAGGCGGUUUGUCGCGUCUGCUGUGAAAACCUAAGGCUCAACCUUGGGCUUGCAGUGGGUACGGGCAGACUAGAGUCCGGAAGAGGAGAGCGGAAUUCCUGGUGUAGCGGUGAAAUGCGCAGAUAUCAGGAAGAACACCCGUGGCGAAGGCGGCUCUCUGGGACGGUACUGACGCUGAGACGCGAAAGCGUGGGGAGCGAACAGG